rfam:Ipomoea nil DNA, scaffold: scaffold0164, cultivar: Tokyo-kokei standard.
GUUGGAGUAGCUCAGUUGGUAAGAGUUUGUGGCUGUUAACCACGACGAGGUCGAAGGUUCAAGUCCUUCUUUUUAGCG